AUUGAACGCUGGCGGCAUGCCUUACACAUGCAAGUCGAACGGCAGCGCGGACUUCGGUCUGGCGGCGAGUGGCGAACGGGUGAGUAAUACAUCGGAACGUACCCUGUUGUGGGGGAUAACUAGUCGAAAGAUUAGCUAAUACCGCAUACGACCUGAGGGUGAAAGUGGGGGACCGGAAACGGCCUCAUGCAGCAGGAGCGGCCGAUGUCUGAUUAGCUAGUUGGUGGGGGAAAGGCCCACCAAGGCGACGAUCAGUAGCUGGUCUGAGAGGACGAUCAGCCACACUGGGACUGAGACACGGCCCAGACUCCUACGGGAGGCAGCAGUGGGGAAUUUUGGACAAUGGGGGCAACCCUGAUCCAGCAAUGCCGCGUGUGUGAAGAAGGCCUUCGGGUUGUAAAGCACUUUUGUCCGGAAAGAAAUCGCGCUGGUUAAUACCUGGCGUGGAUGACGGUACCGGAAGAAUAAGCACCGGCUAACUACGUG
rnacentral:rRNA from 1 species